CGCAUCUUCCUUGGCAUCGCGUAGGUCAUGUUUUUUUCUCUGACAUCUUGUUGGCAGCUGAAGGCAGGAUGCCAAUGUGACCAAGACAGGGGAAAGUGCAGUUUCAGGUUUUACAGCACGCUGCCUGUGUAUUGCACAGCUCACUCCUAUAUCAUCCACCCCCUUUCCCUGUGGCAUGGGGUUUUUAUUCCAUAGCACUUUCACGUGUG